AUUCCAGCUCCAAUAGCGUAUAUUAAAGUUGUUGCAGUUAAAAAGCUCGUAGUUGAAUUUUAGGCCUGGUUGGACGGUCUGCUCUAGGGUUUGUACUGUCCUGACUGGGUCUUACCUUCUGGUGAGCUGUCGUAUUGUUUACUCAGUGCGGCAGGGAACCAGGACUUUUACUUUGAAAAAAUUAGAGUGUUUAAAGCAGGCAUUCGCUUGAAUACAUUAGCAUGGAAUAAUAGAAUAGGACUUUGGUUCUAUUUUGUUGGUUUCUAGGACCGAAGUAAUGAUUAAUAGGGAUAGUUGGGGGCAUUAGUAUUUAAUUGUCAGAGGUGAAAUUCUUGGAUUUAUUAAAGACUAACUUCUGCGAAAGCAUUUGCCAAGGAUGUUUUCAUUA
rnacentral:rRNA from 1 species